rnacentral:rRNA from 1 species
ACAUGCAGUCGAGGGGCAGCACAAGUGUAGCAAUACUCUGGGUGGCGACCGGCGCACGGGCGAUUAUCGCGUAUGCAACCUACCUUCCACAGGGGGAUAGCCUUCCGAAAGGGAGAUUAAUACCGCAUGAAACAGGGGCCCCGCAUGGGGAUAUUUGUUAAAGAUUUAUCGGUGGAAGAUGGGCAUGCGUUCCAUUAGCUAGUUGGGGGGGUAACGGCCCACCAAGGCAACGAUGGAUAGGGGAACUGAGAGGUUUAUCCCCCACACUGGGACACUGAGACACGGCCCAGACUCCUACGGGAGGCAGCAGUGAGGAAUAUUGGUCAAUGGGCGGGAGCCUGAACCAGCCAAGUCGCGUGGAGGACGACGGUUCUAUGGAUUGUAAACUCCUUUUGCACUGGGGUAAAACGCGGGACGUGUCCCGCCUUGCAAGUACAGUGCGAAUAAGCAUCGGCUAACUCCGUGCCAGCAGCCGCGGUAAUACGGAGGAUGCGAGCGUUAUCCGGAUUUAUUGGGUUUAAAGGGUGCGUAGGCGGCCCCUUAAGUCAGCGGUAAAAUUUCUGCGCUCAACGCAGUCGUGCCGUUGAAACUGGGGGGCUUGAGUCUAGAUGAAGUGGGACCGGGAUUUGUAGUGUAGCGGUGAAAUGCUUAGAUAUUACAAAGAAACUCGAUUGCGCAAGCAGCUCACUAAGCUAUCACUGACGAAUCACU